rnacentral:lncRNA from 1 species
UUAUUUUAACAAGGCACAGGGGAUGGGGUUUAAUGUUUUAAUCUUUUCCCCAACAACACACUACACAAUUCUUCCUAGAAUUGGUUCAAUAAAAUUUGAUGGAUAAAAGGCAAAAUAAAAGAACAUAUAACACAUCAGUGACAUCACUAGACUACUAGAACCAAAUUGUUUAACUUUGGUUCAUCAAAAUUUGCCGGACAUAGGGCAAAAAAAUAGAACAUAUAAACACAUCCAGAACCACCAGCCCACUAGAACCAAAUUGUUUAACUUUGGUUCAUCAAAAUUUGCUAGACAUAGGGCCAAAUAACAGAACAUAAUAACACAUCCAGCUUCUAAAACAAAUACAACACAAAUACACAAUAUAAAAUCUAAAAUUCAAAGUUUUAAAGUAAUAAACAUCCACAAAUACAAAUUCAUAACAUAAUUCUAUAAUUUAAAGCUGAAAUUUCCAGCCACUGCCCACUAGUGCUCAGAUUUCCAGCCACUGCCCACAGCCCACCAGUGCUCAAAUUUCCAGCCACUGCCCACCAGUACUAAAGACUAAACUCUGAAUCAUGCACUUCAUUGGACUGUUGUUCACUCAUCAAACUUUCAUCAAUUAAAUGCUCUGCAGAAAGUAUUGCUUCCUCUGGAAUUCCAUCUACAAAAAAUGUGUAAAUCAUAAACAUAAUGAACAAGACAACCAAUUAG